GGUGUAGCGGUGGAAUGCGCAGAUAUCAGGAGGAACACCAAUGGCGAAGGCAGAUCUCUGGGCCGUAACUGACGCUGAGGAGCGAAAGCAUGGGGAGCGAACAGGAUUAGAUACCCUGGUAGUCCAUGCCGUAAACGUUGGGAACUAGAUGUAGGGUCCAUUCCACGGAUUCUGUGUCGCAGCUAACGCAUUAAGUUCCCCGCCUGGGGAGUACGGCCGCAAGGCUAAAACUCAAAGGAAUUGACGGGGGCCCGCACAAGCGGCGGAGCAUGCGGAUUAAUUCGAUGCAACGCGAAGAACCUUACCAAGGCUUGACAUAUACCGGAAACGUCUGGAAACAGUCGCCCCGCAAGGUCGGUAUACAGGUGGUGCAUGGUUGUCGUCAGCUCGUGUCGUGAGAUGUUGGGUUAAGUCCCGCAACGAGCGCAACCCUCGUUCUUUGUUGCCAGCACGUAAUGGUGGGAACUCAAAGGAGACUGCCGGGGUCAACUCGGAGGAAGGUGGGGAUGACGUCAAAUCAUCAUGCCCCUUAUGUCUUGGGCUUCACGCAUGCUACAAUGGCCGGUACAAAGGGCUGCAAUACCGUAAGGUGGAGCGAAUCCCAAAAAGCCGGUCUCAGUUCGGAUUGAGGUCUGCAACUCGACCUCAUGAAGUCGGAGUCGCUAGUAAUCGCAGAUCAGCAACGCUGCGGUGAAUACGUUCCCGGGCCUUGUACACACCGCCCGUCAAGUCAUGAAAGUCGGUAACACCCGAAGCCAGUGGCCCAACCGCAAGGAGGGAGC
rnacentral:rRNA from 2 species